CAUUUUACACUGCUUUACGUUCUGGACAAAGAAAGAUGGCGUGUUUUGGGGGGGGCUUUGUUUCAAGUAGCAAAUAGAUGUCUACGUGAGAUAUGAAGUUGAAAAGUCGAAAGUUAGUGUGUACCGAGACAAGAAAUGAAUCUAAGAUAGAGUCAGAUAUAGUACAGGUCAUGUAACAGAUGGUGUGGACAGAAUGUUGUUAUGGUGGCUUUGUUCAAGUAACAUAUUCUGACAAAGAUGGUAAAGCAGUGGCAGACAGGGUUUAGGACAUUGUGUAUGUUUCGCUUGUUAGAGCCCAUGCACAGACAGAAGAAAAGCCAAGUCGCCACUCUUGCAGCCAGUUGAACACAAGAAUCCACUUCAUGUGCAGAUCUACAUAUUCCACAUCAUCCAAGAGUAGACAACAUUCCAUGUAUUCCAGUUAAGCAUGUGAAAGUCUCUCUGGCUGAUGCAGUUAAACUUGAACAGAACACCAAAGACUAGGGUAACAUAAUCUAAUAUGGCACCAGGAAAGAGCCAAGAGGAUAACUGCAUCACUUCUUGGAUGCUUUAUAAUAAAACAGGCUCCUAUAACAAAGAAAUUGGUCAAUAGUGUUCUUACGCCCAAACUAUUUACAAGUGCCAAAAUAAGUUAUUGAAAUUACAGUGAAAGGGUGGAUGCAAUAUGUAUAG